GCCCUUAUGGCGUAGUGGUAGCGCGUCGCACUUGUAAUGCGAAGGUCACUAGUUCAAUCCUGGUUGGGGGCA
rnacentral:tRNA from 2 species